rnacentral:rRNA from 1 species
GAUGAACGCUGGCGGCGUGCCUAAUACAUGCAAGUCGAGCGAACAGACGAUGAGCUUUCUCCUCUGACGUUAGCGGCGGACGGGUGAGUAACACGUGGAUAACCUACCUAUAAUACUGGGAUAACUUCGGGAAACCGGAGCUAAUACCGGAGAAUAUAUUGAACCGCAUGAUUCAAUAGUGAAAGACGGUUUUGCUGUCACUUAUAGAUGGAUCCGCGCCGCAUUAGCUAGUUGGUAAGGUAACGGCUUACCAAGGCAACGAUGCGUAGCCGACCUGAGAGGGUGAUCGGCCACACUGGAACUGAGACACGGUCCAGACUCCUACGGGAGGCAGCAGUAGGGAAUAUUGCGCAAUGGGCGAAAGCUUGACGGAGCAAUGCCGCGUGAGUGAUGAAGGUCUUCGGAUCGUAAAACUCUGUUAUUAGGGAAGAACAACUGUGUAAGUAACUCUGCACGUCUUGACGGUACCUAAUCAGAAAGCAACGGCUAACUACGUG